UGCCAGACUCCUACGGGAGGCAGCAGCGGGGAAUAUUGCACAAUGGGGGAAACCCUGAUGCAGCGACGCCGCGUGAGUGAAGAAGUAUUUCGGUAUGUAAAGCUCUAUCAGCAGGGAAGAAAAUGACGGUACCUGACUAAGAAGCCCCGGCUAACUACGUGCCAGCAGCCGCGGUAAUACGUAGGGGGCAAGCGUCAUCCGGAUUUACUGGGUGUAAAGGGAGCGUAGACGGCAUGGCAAGUCAGAUGUGAAAGCCCGGGGCUCAACCCCGGGACUGCAUUUGAAACUGUCAGGCUGGAGUGCAGGAGAGGUAAGUGGAAUUCCUAGUGUAGCGGUGAAAUGCGUAGAUAUUAGGAGGAACACCAGUGGAGAAGGCGGCUUACUGGACUGUAACUGACGUUGAGGCUCGAAAGCGUGGGGAGCAAACAGGAUUAGAUACCCCUGUAGC
rnacentral:rRNA from 1 species